UGGAGAAGGGGGCCAUCUACAAGCCAGGAAAAAGCACCCUCACCAGGAAACAGAAUCAGCCAGUACCUUGCUCUUGGAUUUCCCAGCCUCCAAAACUGAAACUGCCGGCUCAGUGUUCAGUAUUCAGACCACAGAUCCAUGACUCACCAAUAAACCACCUGGAUAAAUGAACACAGAGGAUCUCAUCUGCUGCCGGCUAUUACCCUACCUCUUGAUUCUUACUCUGUUUUGCAUCCGGAAAUUCCAUUUUCAUUUGAGGUCUGCUGUAACAAGUGCCACAAACUACGCGGCUUGAAACAACAGAAAUGUAUUGUCUCACAGUUCUGGAGGCUGAAGUCUGAAAUCAAAGUGUUGGCAGGGUCAGGCUCCCUCUGAAAUCCAGAGGGGAGCAUCCGUCCUCUCCUCUUGCUCGGUUCUGGGGGUUUGCCAGCAGUCCUCGGCGCUCUCGGCUCGCAGCUGCAGCCCUUCAAUCUCUCCCUCCAUCUGUUACAUGGUGUUCUUCCCUCGUGUGUCUGUCCCAGUAUCCCUCCUCCUCUAGUAAGGACAGCAGUUGUAUUGGAUUAGGGCCACCCUAGUGACCUCAUCUGAAGCUUGAUUACAUCUGCAGAGACUCUGUUUCCAAAUAAGUUUGCAUUCACAAGUGCUGGGGUUAAGGCUUCGACAAAUCUUUUCAGGGGAUACAAUUCAACCCGUAACACUCUCCAUCCUUGUUUCUCCAACUCCCAACAGGUGUGGGGUAUGUGGUGGAGCUGGUCAACCAGAAAGCACUCUGAAGUCCCUUCAGCUCAGAGAGUCUGAGGCUCCGAGUGUCCACCAUUCUAAGUGCAGAAUUAGUCAUCCUUGGGCAACUAAGGAGCCCAAGAGAGAAUGAUUAGAAGCAAGUUCCAGGUCAUUAUAAAACAGAUAAGAAGCAUGGUCUUUGGAAACAUGAUUCAUGUACUUUCUUGGCAUAGCAGGCUGUUUUAUUUUGCUCGUCACAGUCACCUUUUUUGUUUUCAUUUUUAUCCGUUGAAUGAUUGUUGGUCAAAAGUUUUCUAAGCUGAAUUCCCAUCCUGUUACCCAUAAAAUUACAUAAAAUGAGAUGCUAGAGUUAAAAAAAAAUAACUUUCACAUCACAACUGAUUUUAGAUGUUGGCUAGGCUGCCAGCUGGAGCAGAUUAACAAGAAAAAUCAAGACUCCUCUCUCUGUCUUUGUCCUUCAGGCUAAAAAAAGGCAAGAUAAGAAGAGAGGACGCUCUGUAAUGAAUAAGGGUGUUGGUGCCUCCUGCUGGGUCAGCUUUGGGUAUCUGGAGGAGGAGACCCUUUGAGGCCCUGGGGGUGGGUUCUGGCUGGGAGGAGAAUUGCAAGUGGAGGGGUGGGGGCAGCAUAAAUGGAGAUGAAAAUUGUCUACACUCUCUCCUGAUGUUCCUGUGCUUCAAAGAAAAAACUGUGUCACAGUCAGGGAAGGGGAAAGCACUGAUCACUGAGUUGAAAGAGGACAUUUUCCCAGAGUUCUAGGCCCACAGUCCUCAGUGUGACAUGUGUACAAAGAUGCAUCUGCCUCCCUCCUGCGUCUCCCUCCACGUGACCUAAGGUGGACACCAGAUGUAUAAACAAGGACAGGGCAGUGUCCCAUCUGGAAAUCUCUGACUUGUGUGACAAAAACCUCAGCAAAAUGGAAUCUUCUCCAGAAUUAAAUAGUGCUAUUUUUUCCUGGCUUUCAGAAAUUAUUUAGAUAAACAAUGGGUAAUUUAAUUAUAAUGUUAUUAUGAAAGCCGGUCCUGUCACUUGCUGCCAACGCAAGGUAAAAACACUGGGAAUUCACACUGUGUUGUUAUUAUUUUGGUCUUUCUUUGCCGUUCCUUCAGCAAUGGGAGUUAUGGAUUUGUCAGCAUUUCCAUUAUUACCUCUUAUUUUCAAGGCCUCUGUCUUAGUUGCUGAAAUUGCAUUGUACUGGAUGGAAGCCUAGAGGUAAUUUCCUUUAGUGUUAUAGCAGCUGCAUUCUUUUAUGGUUGUGUGUGAC